GAACGCUGGCGGCGUGCUUAACACAUGCAAGUCGAACGGAGAUGCUAUGUGAGCGGAAGAUGCUUGCAUCCAACAAUCUUAUAGCAUCUUAGUGGCGGACGGGUGAGUAACGCGUGGGUAACCUGCCUUAUACCGGGGGGAUAACACUUAGAAAUAGGUGCUAAUACCGCAUAAGCGCACGGUACCGCAUGGUACAGUGUGAAAAACUCCGGUGGUAUAAGAUGGACCCGCGUCUGAUUAGCCAGUUGGCAGGGUAACGGCCUACCAAAGCGACGAUCAGUAGCCGGCCUGAGAGGGCGGACGGCCACAUUGGGACUGAGACACGGCCCAAACUCCUACGGGAGGCAGCAGUGGGGAAUAUUGCACAAUGGGGGAAACCCUGAUGCAGCGACGCCGCGUGAGUGAAGAAGUAUUUCGGUAUGUAAAGCUCUAUCAGCAGGGAAGAAAAGAAUGACGGUACCUGACUAAGAAGCCCCGGCUAACUACGUG
rnacentral:rRNA from 1 species